rnacentral:misc_RNA from 1 species
UUUCCGUAGGUGAACCUGCGGAAGGAUCAUUAAAGAGAUCAUGCCCUCACGGGUAGACCUCCCACCCUUUGUUUACAAUACCUUUGUUGCUUUGGCGGGCCCGUUUGGCCCCGCGCUGAACAACCGGCCCCGGCUGGUCAGUGCCCGCCAGAGAACCGAAAACUCUGAAUUAAAUGUCGUCUGAGUACUAUGUAAUAGUUAGAACUUUCAACAACGGAUCUCUUGGUUCUG